GCCAGACAACUGGGUGGUCGAGUA
rnacentral:siRNA from 1 species